rnacentral:rRNA from 1 species
GAUGAACGCUAGCUACAGGCCUAACACAUGCAAGUCGAGGGGAAACGGCAUUGAGUGCUUGCACUCUUUGGACGUCGACCGGCGCACGGGUGAGUAACGCGUAUCCACUCUUCCCAUUACUGUGGGAUAACCUGCCGAAACGCAGACCAAUACCGCAUAGUCAUCGAUGACGGCAUCAGAUUUGAAGUAAUGAUUUAUCGGUAAUGGAUGGGGAUGCGUCUGAUUAGCUUGUUGGCGAGGUAACGGCUCACCAAGGCGACGAUCAGUAGGGGUUCUGAGAGGAAGGUCCCCCACAUUGGAGCUGAGGCACAGUCCAAACUCGGACGGGAGGGAGCAGUAAGUAAUAUAAGUGAAGGGAGGGAAGUCGGAACCAGCCAAGUAAGGGACAAAGGGACUGGCAUAUGGGAUGUAAACUACUUUUGAAGGAGGAUAAAGUAAGGGACGAGUCCCUAUUUGCAGGUACCAUACGAAUAAGGACCGGCUAAUUCCGUG